UCUUGGGUGACUGACGUCGAUGGACGGC
rnacentral:piRNA from 1 species